rnacentral:misc_RNA from 1 species
AAGAAUGACUAGGGGUUUCUACCGCGUACUUGGAGCUUCUAGUUAUAAUACAUGGAACAAGAUCCCUAGCAAAACUGGCCAAGAGGAUAUUAGGGUGAUCUCUAGGAGGAACUUAACUGAUCCUGGUGAACCCCAAGGCCUUAUUCUCUGUGCUGCUUCUUCCAUUUGGUUGCCUGUCUCUCGCAACGUCCUCUUUGAUUUCUCGAAAGAUGAAAACCAUCGCCAUGAGUGG